rnacentral:tRNA from 1 species
GGCUUAAUAGCUCAGUUGGUAGAGCACUGCACCAGCAUCGCAGAGGUCAAGGGUUCGAAUCCCGUUCGGGCCU